CCCCUAGAUGUUCUGGGCCGCACGCGCGCUACACUGAACAGUUCAACAAGUCUUAACCUUGGCCGAUAGGUCUGGGUAAUCUUUGAACGCUGUUCGUGAUUGGGAUAGACCUUUGCAAUUAUGGGUCUUCAACGAGGAAUUCCUAGUAAACGCAAGUCAUCAGCUUGCAUUGAUUACGUCCCUGCCCUUGUACACACCGCCCGUCGCACCUACCGAUUGAAUGGUCCGGUGAAGCCUCCGGAUUGGCGCGCACCUCGGUGCCGCCGAGAAGUUGGCUAAACCUUACCAUUUAGAGGAAGGUGAAGUCGUAACA
rnacentral:rRNA from 1 species